AAAUUGAAGAGUUUGAUCAUGGCUCAGAUUGAACGCUGGCGGCAGGCCUAACACAUGCAAGUCGAGCGGUAACACAGAGAGCUUGC
rnacentral:rRNA from 1 species